rnacentral:rRNA from 1 species
UACGUAGGGGGGCAAGCGUUGUCCGGAUUUAUUGGGCGUAAAGAGCGUGUAGGCGGCCGUACAGGUCAGCUGUGAAAACUCGAGGCUCAACCUCGAGACGUCGGUUGAAACCGUACGGCUAGAGUCCGGAAGAGGAGAGUGGAAUUCCCGGUGUAGCGGUGAAAUGCGCAGAUAUCGGGAAGAACACCCGUGGCGAAAGCGGCGCACUGGACCACAACUGACGCUGAGGCGCGAAAGCUAGGGGAGCAAACAGG